rnacentral:rRNA from 1 species
CACGUAGGGUGCGAGCGUUGUCCGGAAUUAUUGGGCGUAAAGAGCUCGUAGGUGGUUUGUCGCGUUGUCCGUGAAAACUCACAACUCAAUUGUGGGCGUGCGGGCGAUACGGGCAGACUGGAGUACUGCAGGGGAGACUGGAAUUCCUGGUGUAGCGGUGGAAUGCGCAGAUAUCAGGAGGAACACCGGUGGCGAAGGCGGGUCUCUGGGCAGUAACUGACGCUGAGGAGCGAAAGCGUGGGGAGCGAACGGG